rnacentral:rRNA from 1 species
GAGUUUGAUCAUGGCUCAGGACGAACGCUGGCGGCGUGCUUAACACAUGCAAGUCGAGCGACAGCCUCCUUCGGGGGUAUGGAGCGGCGAACGGGUGAGUAACACGUGGGCAACCUGCCCUCAGCUCUGGGAUAACUCCGGGAAACCGGGGCUAAUACCGGAUACGACCUUCCCUCGCAUGGGGGUUGUGGAAAGUUCUUCGGCUGAGGAUGGGCCCGCGGCCUAUCAGCUUGUUGGUGGGGUGAAGGCCUACCAAGGCGACGACGGGUAGCCGGCCUGAGAGGGCGACCGGCCACACUGGGACUGAGACACGGCCCCAGACUCCUAC